GCAGACUCUUGGUUCUGCCCACGCAGGUCCCGCCCCUCUCUUAGCCUUGCCCCGCCCGCCGCGCAGGCGCCGUCCGAGGGCUCCGUUUGAAACAUGGCGCGGGCUGGUCCGCGGCUGGUGCUGAGCGAGGAGGCGGUCCGGGCGAAGAGCGGACUAGGGCCUCACCGCGACCUGGCUGAGCUUCAGUCAUUGUCUAUUCCUGGAACUUACCAAGAGAAGAUUACCCACCUGGGACAUUCUCUGAUGAGUUUAACAGGUCUGAAAUCUUUGGAUCUCUCACGCAACUCCUUGGUUAGUCUGGAGGGCAUUCAGUACCUGACCGCAUUGGAGAGUCUCAAUCUCUACUACAACUGCAUCUCCUCUUUGGCAGAGGUGUUUCGGCUCCACGCCUUAACCGAGCUCGUGGACGUGGACUUCCGGCUGAACCCCGUGGUGAAGGUCGAGCCUGACUACCGCCUUUUUGUUGUGCACCUGCUCCCCAAGCUCCGGCAGCUGGAUGAUCGCCCCGUGAGAGAGAGCGAGCGGAAGGCUUCCCGACUGCAUUUUGCAUCAGAGGACUCACUUGACUCAAAAGAGAGCAUCCCAGCUUCUUUGAAAGAGGGCAGACCAUGCCACCCCAGAGCUAAGUGCACCGAGGCCUUGGCCAAGCAGAGCCUGGUCAUGGACGCAGAUGACGAGGCAGUCCUGAACCUCAUUGCAGAGUGCGAGUGGGAUCUCGGCAGGCCUCCCGGGAGCACGAGCUCCAGCCAGAAGGAGCGCGAGGCCGACUCUCGUGGUUCCCAAGAAUCCAGACAUCUAUUGAGCCCGCAGUUGCUACAGUACCAGUGUGGGGACUCCGGGAAGCAGUGCCACGAGACGAGGAGGAGCAGCCGUAGAGGGUGCCAUCUGGAGAAGACACCUUGGAGCCGGCCCUGUGGAGAGUUUCCGCCACCUUACGGAGCAGAGCUGGAGGCCUCCCGGCCUCCCGGGCCACAUGGGUACUUCACCCCAGACCCAGACUCCGUUGGUACUGAGGACUCGGCUUCUUCUCAGAAGUUGGAUUUGUCAGCAGAAAUGGUGCCUGGUUCCCUGCCAGCCCCCGGAAAGUGCAGGAAGCGAAGAAUACCUGGUGGAAGGUUCCAGGCGUUUUCGGACCAGGAAGGUCUGGGCUGCCUGGAGAGAACUCAUGAGUCCUCCGUGCCCGAGGAGAGCCUGAGCAGACAGAACAGCUCAGGAAGCAGGAGUGGGAGGACCUUGUCUCAGCCUGAGGCCUCAGAGUCUGAGGAGCAGAGGUCUCGGGGCAUGGCUGACACCAGAGAGCCAUCUCCCGGGUCACGCUCGGCUCUACCCGGGAAGAAGACGACCCUGCAGGCGGCGCUCCUGGAGACGCUCUUGGACCUGGUGGACAGGAGCUGGGGCGGCUGCAGGUCCCUGCACAGCAAUGAGGCAUUCCUCACUCAGGCAAGACACAUCUUGUCAUCUGUUGAAGAAUUCACAGCGGCUCAGGACGGCUCUGCGACGGUGGGUGCAGACGUCGGCUCCCUGGCUCUGGAGAGUAAGUCCCUGCAAAGCCGCCUUGCUGAGCAGCAGCAGCGGCACGCCCGGGAGAUGAGCGAGGCGACGGCAGAGCUGCAACGCACACGCCAGGAGCUGGUGAGCCCGCCCUGGCGCCGUGUCUGUGUCCACGUGACUGGGGGAAACACGGCUUUGACUUCCAGGAACGAGGCAGCUCCUUGAGGCCACACUGUCCCAACUGCCAUCUCUGCAGCCCCACGUCUCCCCUCCCUGCCCAGCACCCGCCCACCCCCAGGAACGUGGCCUGCCCUGUCUCACAACAGGCCUGGAGCACUUUGGAGACAGCAGUGGCGCUGGCCGCCUUCUCUCCUUGGAGGGGCUGGGCUGGGGAGGCGGGCAGGGGUGACGCCAGCUGGAGACGGUCUUUAGUCCCCUGUCCUCUGGCGCAGUCUGCCCCGUCCCCUCCCGAGAGGUCCAGUGUACCAGGUGAUUGCAGGGUCCCUGCCGCUGCCCUGCCUGUGCAUCCUACCCCGGACCACUGGGCGCUGCGGGAGCCAGGCCUGGACAUGACUUUGUCUUGCUGACCCGUCUCUCAGGGCCUCGAAUUGGAGACAGCUGAGGCCACUCUCCUUUUACGAAGGAGAUGACGGCCAGUGUUCCAUGGUGAACUGGGGCUGCAGGGCAAGUUACCCCAAAAUGAACAGCUGAAAACCCACGUUUAUCCCCUUGGAUUUCUGUGGGUCGGGCCUGAGGCUCAGCUCAGCUCAGCCAGGCGCGUCUGGCUCCCUCUCAGCUGUGGGCCGGGGCCACCGUCUCGUCUGAGGCUUCAUGGGGCAGGAUCCUGCCGGGCUCCCUCCACACUGCAAGGGCCUCCCCAUGAGCUGCUGGUGUCCUCUGGACAGGGAGCUGGUGGUCAGAGAGCCACACCCAGACAGGAGCCACCCUCCGGGAGUCCUGGUGUGAGGGCAGAGCUGUGUGAGGAGGUGCACACCCAGAGGGGCCUUGUCAGCCUUUGUAAAAUGGGAGUGAAGUCGGCCCGGGACGGCUUCGAAAACUGCCUCUGAACUUACCUGACAAGUACAUACUGUUUCAUGGGAACCUACAUCUCAGAGAUCCCACACAGCGCUUCCUCUUCAGAGAAGAAAAAGUACAGAUGACAAAACAACACAGGCAGCCUCUGUUUAAACGCACAUGCCCCGCCCACCCCCCCCUCCCCCCGCCGGGUCUGGAAGCCUCAGCACGUGGCCUUCAUCUGGAAGCCUCCAUUUCAACGUACGUGGGUCCCCAUGCCCCCCGUCCAGAAGCCUCUGCAUUAAACACAUGUCCCUGUGUCCAGAAGCCUCAGUAUUUAAACAGACGUGCCCCCCUCCCCGUCCAGAAGCCUCUGUAUUUAAACACAAGUGGCCCCCGUCUGGAAGCUGCUAUUUAAACACAAGUGGCCCCCGUCUGGAAGCUGCUAUUUAAACAUAAGUGGCCCCUGUCUGGAAGCCUCUGGAUUUAAGAACAUGUGGCCCCUUCUCUGGAAGCUUCUGUAUUUAAACACACGUGAAGCCUUUGUAUUUAAACACACGUUGGCCGCUGUCUGGAAAGUGAGCUGGGCGCUAUCACCGAUGAUGUCUUUUCUGUGGGACGCAGCUGGGCACACCCCUUGCCCUUCUGAGCCUGGGACCGGACGGAGCCGACAGGUGGAGCCCGAAGGUGUGCUGAGCGCCAGUGUCACCGGGGGUGGGAGUCACGUGCAGCUGUGGCUGCUGUGGACGCCUGCUUUUUCGCCCUCUGCAGUUUGCUCAACCCUGUCCCUUGGGGCAGCCCUGGGCCCCAGGACAGAGCAGCCCCGGUUCCCUGUCAGGACGAGUGAUCAGAAGGAUCUGGCAGCCCCAAGCCCCUUGGGUAAGGAGCAGUCAGUACGGUCAGGAACCCUGCGGAGGGAGCAGCCAGGCAGGCUGGUGGGCGCUGCCUUCCAGGGAGGUGCACAUCUGUCACUCCAGAAGCACCCAAGUUUACUCUGCCACGUGAGGACGCUCAUCCCUCGGUCGCAUCAACCUCGACUGUGCUUCCUUCAGAAGCUGCAGUCCAGUGUCCUGAGGCAAAGGUGGCCCCACUCCCAGCUGCUGUGCCUGGCACGGCCUCCGAGGCAGAUGGGCUGCGCCAGCCUAGGUGCAGUUGGUCCUCUGUUCCCUGCGCCUGCUGUGGCCUAGACUCCAAAAAAUAAAAAUUAAACAAUUAGCUAGGCGUGGUGACACGCUCCUGUCAUCCCAGCUAUUUUGGGAGGUAGAGGCAGGAGGCUCAGGAGUUGAGGGCUGCAGUGAGCUGUGAUUGCUCCACUGACCUCCAGUUUGGACGACAGAGCAAGACUUUUCCUCAAAUAAACUAAUGAAAAAGAGCUGGGAGCCCAUAGCCCUGCCUUAAGAGCUCACCGUGUCCUUGGGAGGCAACACCAUGAGACGUGACGCUGCCAGGAGCUUUCUGGAUGACCCAGAGCACCGCGCGGAGGGCAGGUCGUGCUGGUUGGCACCACUGCAGCAGACACCUUGGCAGAAGGCCGUGAAAUGAAGAACUGGCCAGGAUAAGCCUGAGGGGGAUGGUCUCAGACCCAGUGAUCAGCUUUCACCAUGGGCAUCAGGGGCCGGGGGGGAUGAUUUGAGACAACAUUUAGAUAAAUCUUUGGAAGAGAACAGUAGCUUAAAAUCGCUUUUGUUGAGUAUGAAAAAGGAAGUGAAGAGUGCAGACACUGCAGCUACGUUAAAUUUACAGAUCGCUGG